rnacentral:rRNA from 1 species
UACGUAGGGUCCAAGCGUUAUCCGGAAUCACUGGGCGUAAAGCGUACGUAGGCGGAUAUUAAGUGUGAUGCGAAAUCCUGAGGCUCAACCUCAUGGACUGUAUCGCAUACUGGAUAUCUAGAGGAUAUGAGAGGCAAGUGGAAUUACUGGUGUAGCAGUGAAAUGCGUAGAUAUCAGUAGGAACACCAAUGGCGAAGGCAGCUUGCUGGCAUAUUUCUGACGCUAAGGCACGAAAGCGUGGGGAGCGAACAGG